GACAAACUAACCUACACCUUAGACUUCACAAAAAUAGGACCACAACCUAAAAGUUGGUCUGCACAUUCAGAAGGAACCUUGCAAGCACAGAGGACUGCAACCUAAAAGUUGAACUGCACCUUCAGGAGGAACCUUGUGUCUUUGGAGCCAUGAUGAAGAAAAUGCUUGUGUUCAUAUGAUACAGUUAUGAAGAUGUGGUGUGGGGACAACAGGGAUGAUGCUGACACAAGCACAGCUGCUACCAAACAUGACCUGAGCCACACCACACAUCAGCUCCCUUACUCACCAUGUAGCCAGUGACUGGCGCCUCAGGUGGGGCAAUGCGUAGGCCCUGGCUCAGGAUGCCGGCCCAGUUGGACAUGCGGGAGCCGUGCCACAGCAACAUUCGGUUGCCCACGUCCUUGAAGCGCUGGUGCUCACUGUCCUUAUGGCACUCCAGCACCUCCAGCAGUGUCAGUGUGUAGUGCUUGUGGGUCUUGGCAUGGGUUGUCUUCAUGUAUUUCUCAAUUAUCUGUAAAAAAUCUUUCAGUAAUAA